rnacentral:lncRNA from 1 species
GCCGGCACGACACUGACACGUCCGAGGACCGACCUGUGGAGCGCCGCGGUUUGGUUUUGGUUUGUUUCCUAAGGACCUUACAGAGAAGCUCCCAGGUCAGAAGACAGAGACAUCCGGACGAAGCCUGCAGGUUUUCUUCAUCUGAGGUGAGGUUGGCCUCAAUUUCCCUUUGCUCUGUUUCGCUGAGCUGGGUCUUCCUGUGCUGCCCUGGAGCUUGCUGUGGUUGUUCUCUGUGUCCUGCGUGCUGGAAGCAAACCCUCCUCACUGGACUUGCCUGUAAUCUCUU